rnacentral:rRNA from 1 species
AUUGAACGCUGGCGGCAUGCCUUACACAUGCAAGUCGAACGGUAACGCGGGGCAACCUGGCGACGAGUGGCGAACGGGUGAGUAAUGUAUCGGAACGUGCCCAGUUGUGGGGGAUAACUGCUCGAAAGAGCAGCUAAUACCGCAUACGACCUGAGGGUGAAAGCGGGGGAUCGCAAGACCUCGCGCAAUUGGAGCGGCCGAUAUCAGAUUAGGUAGUUGGUGGGGUAAAGGCUCACCAAGCCGACGAUCUGUAGCUGGUCUGAGAGGACGACCAGCCACACUGGGACUGAGACACGGCCCAGACUCCUACGGGAGUCAGCAGUGGGGAAUUUUGGACAAUGGACGCAAGUCUGAUCCAGCCAUGCCGCGUGCGGGAAGAAGGCCUUCGGGUUGUAAACCGCUUUUGUCAGGGAAGAAAAGGCUCCUUCUAAUAUAGGGGGCUCAUGGCGGUACCUGAAGAAUAAGCACCGGCUAACUACGUGCCAGCAGCCGCAGUAA